AAUAAUUUUAUAUUUAUAUAUUAAAAAAAAUAUUUUGGAAAGAUUUCACAAAAUAAAAACAAUAACUUAUAUUUCAAUAGCAUUUUACUCACUAUUGGGCUAAGAUUACCAUUAUAAUUCUACAAAAAUAAAAGAGCCCAAACCCUCAUUUUUCUAAUUAAGUAAACUUCUCCUAAAACCCUCCUACUGCCCUCUCCUUAUUACUCCUCUACUGCUUCCUCCUUUCCCCAUCCACAAUUCACGACACUCAAAAAAAAAAAAAAAAAAAAAUUUCGCUGCUGCCCCUUCGUUGCUGCUGGUGUCGCCGCCGCACUGCUGCUGCCGCCAGCGACCCGUCGCUGCUGCCCGAACCACCAGCCGGAAGGGACUUCGUAGAAGGUGACUUUUAGCCUUAAAGUGGCCAACCAAUUUGUGUACUCAAGAUUCAUCACAGGUUUUUGCAUAAACUGUCUUGCAUCAGGGUGAUGGGAUUUGAGUGGAGAGUUGGUUAACCAGUUAGCUUAUUUCAUAACACAGAUUGAAUUUUAUUUUGGUGUUGGUUCCAUUACUUCCUAUUUUAUUGGAUUUUGAAUAAGGGUCGUUAUGGUUCCAACUCGUAAGACUAUAUUGAGCUUUGACUUUCAGUUUUAAAACUCGUAUUCUUUUCAAAAAAAAAAUUAAUUUUCCGCUGCUAAUUUCUGAAACUAGCCUUAACGUUUGAACACGUGGCGGUAGCACUCCAAUAAUUCUCUUACAGGUUAUACAGGUCAUUACAGGCUGUGCAGGUUAUACAGGUUAUGUUGAUUAGUACAGGUUUUC